GAUGAACGCUAGCGGCAGGCUUAAUACAUGCAAGUCGUGGGGCAGCAGGUCCCGCAGCAAUGCGGGAUGCUGGCGACCGGCAAACGGGUGCGGAACACGUACACAACCUUCCUUUAAGUGGGGCAUAGCCUAAGGAAACUUGGAUUAAUACCCCGUAACAUAUUGAAAAGGCAUCUUUUUAAUAUUAUAGCAGCAAUGCGCUUGAAGACGGGUGUGCGUCUGAUUAGGAGUUGGUGGGGUAACGGCCCACCAAGCCUUCGAUCAGUAACUGGUGUGAGAGCACGACCAGUCACACGGGCACUGAGACACGGGCCCGACUCCUACGGGAGGCAGCAGUAAGGAAUAUUGGUCAAUGGAC
rnacentral:rRNA from 1 species